rnacentral:rRNA from 1 species
GGUAGCGCCUCGUGAAUUCAUCUCCGGGGGUAGAGCACUGUUUCGGCUAGGGGGCCAUCCCGGCUUACCAACCCGAUGCAAACUGCGAAUACCGGAGAAUGUUAUCACGGGAGACACACGGCGGGUGCUAACGUCCGUCGUGAAGAGGGAAACAACCCAGACCGCCAGCUAAGGUCCCAAAGUCAUGGUUAAGUGGGAAACGAUGUGGGAAGGCCCAGACAGCCAGGAUGUUGGCUUAGAAGCAGCCAUCAUUUAAAGAAAGCGUAAUAGCUCACUGGUCGAGUCGGCCUGCGCGGAAGAUGUAACGGGGCUAAACCAUGCACCGAAGCUGCGGCAGCGGCACGCAAGUGUUGUUGGGU